GACGAACGCUGGCGGCGUGCCUAAUACAUGCAAGUCGAGCGGAACUGGGGGAGCUUGCUCCUUCCAGUUUAGCGGCGGACGGGUGAGUAACACGUGGGCAACCUGCCCUGCAGAUCGGGAUAACUCCGGGAAACCGGUGCUAAUACCGAAUAGUUUGGCGCCUCUCCUGAGGCGCCACGGAAAGACGGUUUCGGCUGUCACUGCAGGAUGGGCCCGCGGCGCAUUAGCUAGUUGGUGGGGUAACGGCCCACCAAGGCGACGAUGCGUAGCCGACCUGAGAGGGUGAUCGGCCACACUGGGACUGAGACACGGCCCAGACUCCUACGGGAGGCAGCAGUAGGGAAUCUUCCGCAAUGGACGCAAGUCUGACGGAGCAACGCCGCGUGAGUGACGAAGGUUUUCGGAUCGUAAAACUCUGUUGUGAGGGAAGAACACGUACCAACUAACUAUUGGUACCUUGACGGUACCUCACCAGAAAGCCACGGCUAACUACGUGCCAGCCGCCGCGGUAA
rnacentral:rRNA from 1 species